rnacentral:lncRNA from 1 species
GCAAGCAACAUUUUGGUGUCCCCCCCCCCCCCAAACCAAACACUGAAAAAUAAAAGGUAGAAGGUAGAGGUGAAUAGAAUAUAUAUGGCACAUACAGUCCCUGUGUGUGUGUGUGCGUGUGUGUGUGUGUAUAUAUAAAUAUAUAUACAUACACAUACACACAAUGUGGAGAAUAUGUGGAAAGGUAGAUAGAUAAGUAGGGAGCCACAGCGGAGGAACCUUCCUGGGAACAAGGCCUAAUAAUAAUAAUAAUAAUAAUAAUAAUAAUAAUAAUAAUAAUAAUAAUAAUAAAUCAUCCCUUGCAAUAUCCAAGAUGGCUCACUGCUACAGAAUCUUGGGAGCUGUAGUUUGGUAUGGUACCAUUAUUGGCAGAGAAACCUAAGCUGUAGGAGUUGAAAUCCAAUCAUUUAUCCUCCCUAUAGAAUCUAUUUUCUAUGAUUUAUUUGCUUUUUUAUUGUGUUGUGUUUUUAUUAUUGUAUAUGGCAUUGAAUAUUUGCCUUUGCAUUUGGAAGCUGCCCUUAGUCCUUUUGGGGAGAGAGGGCAGGUUAGAAAUAAAAUAGAAUAAUAACAAUUAUUAUUAUUAUUAUUAUUAUUAUUAUUAUUGACACAACUACGUUGUAUGACACAGCAAACAAGAUAGAUAUGCUGUAUUUUGUAUCACAAAAUCACAAGUCGAACACUUCCCAAGUGUCUAGGACUGUGUGAUGUAUUUUCGGAUGAUGCGUGCAGAUCCCAGUAGGGUGGCCUUUUGCAGUUGGCAGAUCAUGAUUUUGUCAAUGUCUAUUGUUUCCAAAUGCCGGCUGAGAUCUUUUGGCACGGCACCCAAUGUGCCGAUCACCACUGGGACCACCUGCACUGGUUUCUGCCAUAGUCUUUGAAGUUCAAUCUUGAGGUCCUGAUAGCGGCUGAGUUUUUCCUGUUGUUUUUUGUCAAUGCGACUGUCACCUGGGAUGGCAACAUCAAUGAUCCAAACCUUUUUCUUUUCCACAACUGUGAUGUGUGGUGUGUUGUGUUCCAGAACUUUGUUAUUCUGGAACACAACACACCAGACAUCACAGUUGUGGAAAAGAAAAAAGUUUGGAUCAUUGACGUUGCCAUCCCAGGUGACAGCCGUAUUAUUAUUAUUAUUAUUAUUAUUAUUAUUAUUAUUAUUAUUAAAUAUCUGGAGGGCUAAGGUUUGCCCAUGCCUGCUCUAUACUGCACUUUCCAGAACUUUCCCAUCACAAUCUGCUAUUGAGCUGGAUACAAGAUUAAGACAUUAUUUCCAGCUUACUGAAGUUGGCUGUUUAUGUUUUGGCUGAGGGGGCAGAAAUUGCCUUAAAGCCAUCUUGUGCAGCUUCCAAAACCCAACACCUGAGAACAUUUUGCACUAUAGCCAGAUAUUUCCAAGGUUGUACCCAAAGGGCUUGGCAAAUAUACCCUUUUUUUGAGAUGGAUCUAAAUCAGGCAUGGGCAAACUUUGGCCCUCCAGAUGUUUUGGACUUCAACUCCCACAAUUCCUAACAGCCAGUAUUUGAGAACACAGAAAUGCUGGACCACUCUAAAAGCCACCAUGUCAGACUAAACAGAGAAGCCAUUGAAAUCCACAAGAAGCACAUGGACAAUUUCAACAGAAAAGAGGAAAUCAUGAAAAUAAACAAAAUCUGACAUUUGGAAAGAAGCAAAACUAAAUGGGGAAGAGUCUUUUUUCCUUAGAGGGAGAAAGAGGCUAGCGCUGGUCUGCAAAGGGGGCUCCACUUCUCCCUCCCUCCCAUCCCUCCCCAGGAGCCCAGCCUGAGCCAUAGGGCCACGCUGCCGGGGAGGCUCACCUGGCUCAGGGUGGAGCGACUCCCGGCUCCAAGGCAGGGCAAGGAGAAGGCCAAGCAGCAGGCAUGGCUCUUUCUUCCCUUCCCUCCCUCCCUGCUUCUCUCUCUCCCUCAGCGGCCUCUCAAAGAGAGAGAGCGAGAGCAAGAGCGCGCGCACGCGAGAGAGAGAGAGAGAGAGAGAGAGAGAGAGAAGCAGGGAGGGGAGAGAGAUAAGGGAAGAAAGAGCAGUAGGCUUCAGUUGAGGGAGCCAGCGAGGGAGCUGCUGCUGCUGCUGGUGGUGGUGGUGGGGUGGGGGGCUCGACGGUGACCCUGAGGACCGUGCGCUCCAAGCGGAGGCCUCAUUGGUUUCCAUGUUGGACCGGCUCUGGCUGCCACUGCUAUCAUUUUCCCAUCCAGAUAUCUGAAAAAGUCUUUCACCACUCUGCUCAUAGAUUCUUUCUUUCUUUCUUUCUUUCUUUCUUUCUUUCUUUCUUUCUUUCUUUCUUUCUUUCUUUCUUUCUCCCUUUCCCUCCCUCCCUCCCUCCCUCCUUUGUAAAAGUUAAUAUACAGUUUCAACUCUUAUAAAAAAGGAACAAUUUGCUUCUCUGAGAGUGGUAAAAAGGAAAAAUCAAAAGAGGAGCUGCCACUUCCGGCAUUUUCCCAACCAGGGAUUCAAGAAGGCCAAAAGCAGUGUUGAGAUGGAAAGAGUGGGAGUGGGAGGGUCCAUGCUUCUUUUAGGUUUCCCCAAGAUGAACUGAGCUCUUUCCUUUUGCCACCCUAUUCAGAGAAGGGAAGAUUUUAUAUAUAUGUAUGUGUGUUAAGGUACAGUACUCACAUUGUCCCAUGAAUCAGUUGACCAAGGUUUUGGGAGUUGAUUUUUUGAUUAAGAUUUCUAGACUUACAGUACUAUAUAGA